rnacentral:ncRNA from 1 species
CCGGACGACUCUGGAAAGCAGGCGCAGUGUUGCGCCUCACCGACGGUGCAAGCCCGGUUCGUACCUCCCCGGGUGAAGCUCUCAGGUACCGAUGACAGAGGGGGAGAC